GUUUCAAUUCCUCAUAGGCAGGCUAUCGGCAGAAUUCGCCCUUCUCGUUUCUCUCGAUUGUUCCAG
rnacentral:sRNA from 1 species